rnacentral:rRNA from 1 species
GCCGGAAUUGCUAGUAAUGGCAGGUCAGCAUACUGCCGUGAAUACGUUCCCGGGCCUUGUACACACCGCCCGUCACACCAUGAGAGUUGGGAAUACCCGAAGCCUGUGAGCUAACGUAAGAGGCAGCAGUCGAAGGUAGAAUCAAUGAUUGGGGUGAAGUCGUAACAAGGUAGC